rnacentral:rRNA from 1 species
AUGAGGAGGGGCAAGAACCCGGCAGACCCCGACGCCGACUUGGUAGAUGGCCUGCUCGCCUUCCUUGCUGACGCGAACCCAGUCAGCGGCAAGCGCAGAGAGGACGCUCUCCGCUUCACGCGGGAUAAUGUCAAAGCUAUGAUCAUGGACAUGCUAUUUGGUGGACCGGAGACGGUGGGGUCCACAACCGAGUGGGCGAUGGCAGAGAUGAUGCGUAGCCCAGACGAGCUCGGGCGGCUGCAGCAGGAACUUGCCGAUGUGGUGGGGCUCGAUCGGGCUGUUGAAGAAUCCGACCUCGACAAGCUCCCUUUCCUCAUGUGCGUCGUCAAGGAGGCGCUUCGCAUGCACCCGCCCAUCCCGGUGCUCCUCCACGAGGCCGCCAAGGACUGUAUUGUUGGCGGCUACUUCGUACCGAGAGGUUCCCGCGUGUUGGUCAAUGCGUGGGCGAUCAACCGCGACUGCGGGGCCUGGAAGGAUGCCGACACAUUUCGACCAGCACGGUUCAUGGCCGGUGAGGGCGAGGCCACCGGGCUAGACCUCAAGGGAAGCUGCUACGAGUUCUUGCCGUUUGGGUCUGGCAGACGCUCAUGCCCUGCGCAGGGGCUCGGCCAACAUGCGGUUGAGUUCGCCGUCGCGCAGCUGGUGCAUGGUUUCAACUGGAAGCUGCCGAACGGCAUGAAGCCAACAGAGCUUGACAUGGGCGACAUUUUUGGCCUCACCGCGUCACGCUCCACACGGCUCUAUGCCGUGCCCACGCCCCGGCUCACCUGCGUUGUGUAA